rnacentral:rRNA from 1 species
GGAACUCUACCUUGUAGUGUCGUAGGAAUCUACCUUGUAGAGGGGGAUAACCUGGGGAAACUCGGGCUAAUACCGCAUAAUCUCUUUGGAGCAAAGCGGGGGAUCUUCGGACCUCGUGCUAUAAGAUGAGCCUACGUCGGAUUAGCUUGUUGGUGGGGUAAUGGCCUACCAAGGCGACGAUCCGUAGCUGGUCUGAGAGGACGAUCAGCCACACUGGGACUGAGACACGGCCCAGACUCCUACGGGAGGCAGCAGUGGGGAAUAUUGGACAAUGGGGGAAACCCUGAUCCAGCAAUGCCGCGUGUGUGAAGAAGGCCUUCGGGUUGUAAAGCACUUUCGGUGGGGAAGAAAUUCUCAAGGGUAAUAUCCUUGGGCGUUGACGUUACCCACAGAAGAAGCACUGGCUAACUCUGUGCCAGCAGCCGCGGUAAUACAGAGAGUGCAAGCGUUAAUCGGAAUCACUGGGCGUAAAGCGCGCGUAGGUGGAUAUUUAAGUCGGAUGUGAAAGCCCUGGGCUUAACCUGGGAAUUGCACCCGAUACUGGGUAUCUUGAGUAUGGUAGAGGGAAGUGGAAUUUCCGGUGUAGCGGUGAAAUGCGUAGAUAUCGGAAAGAACACCAGUGGCGAAGGCGACUUCCUGGACCAAUACUGACACUGAGGCGCGAAAGCGUGGGGAGCAAACAGGAUUAGAGACCCUGGUAGUCCACGCCGUCAACGAUGAGAACUAGCUGUUGGAAAGUAUGACACUACAAGGUAGAUUCCUACGACACGAGAACUUAGCUGUUGGGGAGUUCACUUCUUAGUAGCGAAGCUAACGCGUUAAGUUCUCCGCCUGGGGAGUACGGCCGCAAGGUUAAAACUCAAAGAAAUUGACGGGGGCCCGCACAAGCGGUGGAGCAUGUGGUUUAAUUCGAUGCAACGCGAAAAACCUUACCUACCCUUGACAUCCUCGGAACUUGUCAGAGAUGAUUUGGUGCCUUCGGGAACCGAGUGACAGGUGCUGCAUGGCUGUCGUCAGCUCGUGUCGUGAGAUGUUGGGUUAAGUCCCGUAACGAGCGCAACCCUCGUCCUUAGUUGCCAGCGAGUCAAGUCGGGAACUCUAAGGAGACUGCCGGUGAUAAACCGGAGGAAGGUGGGGAUGAUGUCAAGUCAUCAUGGCCCUUACGGGUAGGGCUACACACGUGCUACAAUGGGCAGUACAAAGGGUUGCCAAGCCGCGAGGUGGAGCUAAUCCCAGAAAACUGCUCGUAGUCCGGAUUGGAGUCUGCAACUCGACUCCAUGAAGUUGGAAUCGCUAGUAAUCGCGAAUCAGCAUGUCGCGGUGAAUACGUUCUCGGGCCUUGUACACACCGCCCGUCGCACCAUGGGAGUGAAUUGUACCA